rnacentral:rRNA from 1 species
GAUGAACGCUGGCGGCGUGCCUAAUACAUGCAAGUCGAGCGAACAGACGAGGGGCUUGCUCCUCUGACGUUAGCGGCGGACGGGUGGGUAACACGUGGAUAACCUACCUAUAAGACUGGGAUAACUUCGGGAAACCGGAGCUAAUACCGGAUAAUAUAUUGAACCGCAUGGUUCAAUAGUGAAAGACGGUUUUGCUGUCACUUAUAGAUGGAUCCGCGCCGCAUUAGCUAGUUGGUAAGGUAACGGCUUACCAAGGCAACGAUGCGUAGCCGACCUGAGAGGGUGAUCGGCCACACUGGAACUGAGACACGGUCCAGCCGCCUACGGGAGGCAGCAGUAGGGAAUCGUCCGCAAUGGGCGAAAGCCUGACGGAGCAACGCCGCGUGAGUGAUGAAGGUCUUCGGAUCGUAAAACUCUGUUAUUAGGGAAGAACAAAUGUGUAAGUAACUAUGCACGUCUUGACGGUACCUAAUCAGAAAGCCACGGCUAACUACGUG